rfam:Sorghum bicolor cultivar BTx623 chromosome 2, whole genome shotgun sequence.
ACGCAUCGCGUAGCCAAGGAUGACUUGCCGGCAUUUCUUGGGUCGGAUGACUGAGUUGUUGAGCCUGGGGAUGAACAGACCCGGAUCGACGGCCGGCCGGCAAGUCAUCUGUGGCUACGCGUUUGCCUCC